CUCGUAGGUUGCCAACUAAGUCAGACGUGAAAUCCCUCGGCUUAACCGGGGAACUGCGUCUGAUACUGGAUGGCUUGAGUUUGGGAGAGGGACGCGGAAUUCCAGGUGUAGCGGUGAAAUGCGUAGAUAUCUGGAGGAACACCGGUGGCGAAGGCGGCGUCCUGGACCAACACUGACACUGAGGAGCGAAAGCCAGGGGGAGCAAAACG
rnacentral:rRNA from 1 species